rnacentral:rRNA from 1 species
UACGUAGGGCGCGAGCGUUGUCCGGAAUCACUGGGCGUAAAGAGCUCGUAGGCGGCCGGUUGCGUCUGCUGUGAAAUCCCGGGGCUUAACCCCGGGCGUGCAGUGGAUACGGGCUGGCUGGAGGCAGGCAGGGGAGAAUGGAAUUCCCGGUGUAGCGGUGAAAUGCGCAGAUAUCGGGAAGAACACCCGUGGCGAAGGCGGUUCUCUGGGACGGUACUGACGCUGAGACGCGAAAGCGUGGGGAGCAAACAGG